CAGGUCCCGUUUAGCCACUUUGAAUGAGAAGCUUACUGCUUUGGAGAGGAGGAUUGAGUACAUUGAAGCCAGAGUCACAAAAGGGGAAACCUUGACUUAGACGUUGCCCUGGGUCGACGCCAAAGUCAAGAUGAUGGCUACGAACACUCACCUCCUGUCUUUUUCAUUUACUUUAAUUAUUCAAACAAAAUUUCUAUUGGUUGGCUGUGGUAGAUCAGUUCAUUUCUGUAUGGGACCAUUGUGAUGAAGUCUUUGCUAUAAGCAGAUAUGUGUUUGCCUCAUUUCAUGCCUGAUAAUGGCUGAGGUUAUACUGUAUCUGGUCCUUUAUUUUUUUUGAUCUGUCAGGCAAUCUGUUACUGUCUCUGUGGUGCUUGCUCAUGCAAACAGGCCAGUGUCGUAUAUCAUUUGGUUCUGAUCUGCUAUUAAACAACUGUUGAACUCUCCAUGCAAUAUAUUAACGGUCAUGCAAAUAUAGACUGAAAAUACCAUGGAUAAACAGACCAUAUGCCUUGUUUCUUUUAAUUAAUAGCUAAUAAUUGUUUGAUUUGUGAUUUGCCCUCCUGUGUUUUACAAGUCUGUCCUUUUGUUAAAUUACAAAAAUUUGUGUUUGAAAUACAUUGCUGCCUGCUGUACAUUUAUCAUGCAACAAACAUCUG